GCUCCCUUCGUCUAGAGGCCCAGGACAUUGCCCUCUCAAGGCAAGUACACGAGUUCGAAUCUCGUAGGGAGCGCCA
rnacentral:tRNA from 1 species